rnacentral:rRNA from 1 species
AACCUAGCGGCGGACGGGUGAGUAACACGUAGGCAACCUGCCCACAAGACAGGGAUAACUACCGGAAACGGUAGCUAAUACCCGAUACAUCCUUUUCCUGCAUGGGAGAAGGAGGAAAGACGGAGCAAUCUGUCACUUGUGGAUGGGCCUGCGGCGCAUUAGCUAGUUGGUGGGGUAAAGGCCUACCAAGGCGACGAUGCGUAGCCGACCUGAGAGGGUGAUCGGCCACACUGGGACUGAGACACGGCCCAGACUCCUACGGGAGGCAGCAGUAGGGAAUCUUCCGCAAUGGGCGAAAGCCUGACGGAGCAACGCCGCGUGAGUGAUGAAGGUUUUCGGAUCGUAAAGCUCUGUUGCCAGGGAAGAACGUCUUGUAGAGUAACUGCUACAAGAGUGACGGUACCUGAGAAGAAAGCCCCGGCUAACUACGUGCCAGCAGCCGCGGUAAUACGUAGGGGGCAAGCGUUGUCCGGAAUUAUUGGGCGUAAAGCGCGCGCAGGCGGCUCUUUAAGUCUGGUGUUUAAUCCCGAGGCUCAACUUCGGGUCGCACUGGAAACUGGGGAGCUUGAGUGCAGAAGAGGAGAGUGGAAUUCCACGUGUAGCGGUGAAAUGCGUAGAGAUGUGGAGGAACACCAGUGGCGAAGGCGACUCUCUGGGCUGUAACUGACGCUGAGGCGCGAAAGCGUGGGGAGCAAACAGG